UACGUAGGGUGCAAGCGUUGUCCGGAAUUAUUGGGCGUAAAGAGCUCGUAGGCGGUUUGUCGCGUCGGGAGUGAAAACUCAGGGCUCAACCCUGAGCGUGCUUCCGAUACGGGCAGACUAGAGGUAUGCAGGGGAGAACGGAAUUCCUGGUGUAGCGGUGGAAUGCGCAGAUAUCAGGAGGAACACCGGUGGCGAAGGCGGGUCUCUGGGCCGUAACUGACGCUGAGGAGCGAAAGCGUGGGGAGCGAACAGG
rnacentral:rRNA from 1 species